GUGUUUUCCAGGCUCAGGUGAAGCAGCCAUGUAUGUCCCCAAACCAGCACCAAACUGCAGCUCUGGUCAUCCAAGGUCCCCAAGGAACCCAAAAUAUGGAAGGACAUGCCUAAAUUGCAGAGAUCUGAAAACUCACGUGGAGCUUUGCUUUUCCAAACUCCAAUGUUGUCAAGCUCUACAGGAAAGUGCUAUAAAUGUGGUGUAAGUGAAAGACUUGUGGUGUAAAGCCUGCUUGAGAUGGGUUUCUCAAAGACAAUGAAUGUAUGCAAGCCACACUGCAGCUGAGGAACAUCCUUAUAUCCUUGGACAGAACUUUAUCACCUUCCUAAGCUCUUAAUGUUGAUUUUUUUUUUUCCCUGGCUUGAGCUGGUGACUGAAUCUCAUAUGCUUGCAGAGGACCAGCUUGCUGUCAUCUCGUUGGCAUUCUGGUUUGCCACUCGCAAUUAAAUCUAAAUGUUUCUACGUGCCUUUCCCCAAAGACAAGAACCUGCUUGCAAUGAGCUUCCCGGUGACAGGGAUCCAACUUCCCACUGUGCUCGCUCGUCUGACCUUUGGAGCGUGGAAGGUUGCGAUGCACCCGCCUGCAGGGACCGGCACGGUGUCUCUUAAUUGUGCUCUGUAAUCAGCGGCUCGUUCGCAGCCCUCUGCAAUGACACAGCUUCGUCCUCCGGCUGAGGGCACCGCGGGAGGCGCUCGGCAGGCAAAGGCACGAAGGAAGAUCGAGUGCUCCCGGCAGCUCUGCUGGGAGGCUCCUUGGAGCUGCGAGAGGAACCUCAGCGCGUGUUUUAUGGUGCAUUGAUUGGGAAAGGAGGCAUAAAAUACCCACAUUCUCCUGGGGAGCUUCCAUUGCCCAAGGCAAAAUGGGACCCAAAGGGCGCUGGGAUCCUAAACAGUAUUAAUUCCCGUGUAAAGAUGUGUGUGUGUGACCGUGGAUUAAUCCAAAGUCAGGAGAAAUAGGUCCCACCCAAUGUUUUGUGGGAGUUUGCAGGCUCAUAGGGAGGAACCUGUGAUACACACCACAAUAAACUGCUGGGUGAAGCAGGGGAAGCCUUCAUUGCAUCAUCGGGGGUGAAGGAGCUCCAAAGGUUUUCCACUUCUCAAAAAAAAGGAAGAGUGAAGGACCUGUACUGUGGCUUUGCUUUGGAUUAGUAAAAGUUUCUGUAUAAGUUCUGUAUAGAAAUGGAGGCACCUCAGAGCUUUGCACAAACACCUUUCACCUAAGCAGCAGUAAAAAUGGACUUUUGAAGAAAUGGCAACUAAUGGGCGUGGUCCAGGAGAGAUGUGACUUUGCUUCUUCAAGGUGUCCAUGGGUCAGGUGCUGCUCCACCUUGAGAGCUGAAGAUGUAAGGGCAGAAACGGCAAAAUCAGCCCAACAUUGAACCGAAGUGCCAUGUGCUCAGAAAUGGGUUGAACGAGACACUCUGUGACCAUGAAAUCACAUUUUGGAAAGGCUGAAGUAGAUAAGCUCAGUGCUGAAGCUGCUUCAGCCUUGUGCAGGAGGUGAGCCUGUAGUGUAGGAUGGCUCUCUGAGUCCUUCCUGGAGUAUCUACCUUCCAGAAUCCUUUCUGGAGCAUUAGCCUUUCUCACAUACAACAAUCAUUCCCUGCUUUGGUGGAUUCUCCUGAAAUAAAAUCUGCAUAAAUGGAGCUGCUGCAGACCUGUCUGGAUUGAAACACAUCAUGUUGUAGGAUGGAAAGAAGUAGCUGUGUGUUUUUCUUCAAGGCAAAAUUUCUUAUGUUCUUGACAGCUUUUGAAAAAAAAAGGUGGUGUAUGUGGAGUGAAAAUCUUUGAUGGGGAAGUGAAAUAAAAAUGAAUUAUA